rnacentral:sRNA from 1 species
GGUUUUAACCCCAGUAACCAAGGUUAGUAAGGGAUUCGACCAUUCGAAAGAGUGUGUUGAUAAAACUAUAAUUUUUGGAAAAGCUUCUUCGGGGUUCUCCGUUGAAGCGAC